UACAGAGGGGGCAAGCGUUGUUCGGAAUCACUGGGCGUAAAGCGCACGUAGGCGGAUUGCUAAGUCAGGGGUGAAAUCCUGGAGCUCAACUCCAGAACUGCCUUUGAUACUGGCGACCUUGAGUCCGGGAGAGGUGAGUGGAACUGCGAGUGUAGAGGUGAAAUUCGUAGAUAUUCGCAAGAACACCAGUGGCGAAGGCGGCUCACUGGCCCGGUACUGACGCUGAGGUGCGAAAGCGUGGGGAGCAAACAGG
rnacentral:rRNA from 1 species